rnacentral:rRNA from 1 species
AAACCAACAGGGAUUGCCUCAGUAACGGCGAGUGAAGCGGCAAAAGCUCAAAUUUGAAAUCCUUCGGGAGUUGUAAUUUGAAGGUGAAGGGACCGCGGUAGAUGAUGAUUAAAGUCCCUUGGAACAGGGCGCCUUAGAGGGUGAGAGCCCCGUACAGUCAUCCAUCUUCCUCUUAUGUUCUUUCUCCAACGAGUCGAGUUGUUUGGGAAUGCAGCUCAAAGUGGGUGGUAAAUUCCAUCUAAAGCUAAAUACCGGCGAGAGACCGAUAGCGAACAAGUACCGUGAGGGAAAGAUGAAAAGCACUUUGAAAAGAGAGUGAAACAGUACGUGAAAUUGUUGAAAGGGAAGGGCUUGCAAGCAGACACAACCCUCGUGGUUGGGCCAGCAUCGGUUGCUAGGGGUGGAUAAGGCGGCGGGAAUGUAGCUUCCUCGGAAGUAUUAUAUCCCGCUGAGAUACACCCACCGGCGACCGAGGCCUGCGAUUCUAAAUCAAGGAUGCUGGCGUAAUGGUUGCAAGCCGC